UACGUAGGUCCCGAGCGUUAUCCGGAUUUAUUGGGCGUAAAGCGAGCGCAGGCGGUUAGAUAAGUCUGAAGUUAAAGGCUGUGGCUUAACCAUAGUACGCUUUGGAAACAGUUUGACUUGAGUGCAGAAGGGGAGAGUGGAAUUCGAUGUGUAGCGGUGAAAUGCGUAGAUAUAUGGAGGAACACCGGUGGCGAAUGCGGCUGUCUGGUCUGUAACUGACGCUGAGGCUCGAAAGCGUGGGGAGCAAACAGG
rnacentral:rRNA from 1 species